GAGCGAGGAGACAAAAACCCGAUCCCAUCUCGAACUCGGCCGUUAAACUCCUCAGCGCCGAUGGUACUGUGUCUCAAGACCCGGGAGAGUAGGUCAUUGCCGGGC
rnacentral:rRNA from 1 species